GUGGGGAAUCUUCCGCAAUGGACGAAAGUCUGACGGAGCGACGCCGCGUGAGUGAUGAAGGCCUUCGGGUCGUAAAGCUCUGUCAUCGGGGACGAAUGGUCGUAGGAGUGGAAAGCCAGCGAAAUGACGGUACCCGAGAAGGAAGCCACGGCUAACUACGUGCCAGCAGCCGCGGUAAUACGUAGGUGGCAAGAGUUGUCCGGAAUUAUUGGGCGUAAAGCGCGCGCAGGUGGGAUCUGAAGUCCAUUUUGAAAGUUCGGAGCUCAACUCCGUGAUGGGAUGGAAACUGGGAUUCUUGAGUACCGGAGAGGAAAGCGGAAUUCCCCGUGUAGCGGUGAAAUGCGUAGAUAUGAGGAGGAACACCAGUGGCGAAGGCGGCUUUCUGGACGGUGUCUGACACUGAGGCGCGAAAGCCAGGGGAGCGAACGGGAUUAGAUACCCUUGUAGUCC
rnacentral:rRNA from 1 species